CCAAACUGGAAAACUGACUCUUCGCGGACGGCACAAUAACAACUGGGAGAAAUAACUCUGUAGAGACGACUUGGCAGCGAGAACGGAAACUCGUCACGAUUUCCUGGUACACGGCGAUCUGCUUCGAGCGAGCUUAUACGGACUUCAAGGAUAAGACAAUCUUUGGUUCCACAGUACUUUUAUUCUAGGUCAGGCCAACAAGCGACAUGACCUCUAGCAUGCUCUAGUUUGUAAUCAUCAAAGCUGUACAAGGUACUUGCUUAAGAAGUAACUGGUGCGAAGUGCUAUUGUUACACAAAUCGCAAUAUUUGAAUAAGGACACAAAGGAGCGGAAAAAAAGUCUGUUUGAAGCUAAACAAAAACUACUUAAAUAUUCCAUCUGUUUCUACGACGGA